ACCGAUGUUCAUCUUCAAUUAUUGCCUGCAUAGCUGAUAACUAUUAAGUUCCGGUAUUAGUUAUAUGGCAAUAUGGCUCUAGGUUGAAGAUGAUUAACUAAAUACUCAUUGUUAGGAGUUCUCUGUACACCAAAUGAUCAAACUCUUAUUGAAUUCCUUAUAAGAACAGCAAAAUAUCGAUGCACAUGAACACUCUUCAUCUAUUAGAAGAAUAUACACAAUAACCAAUUGCAGAGAACUAAUACAGAGGACUUGAGCAUUAAAAGAAAUAAAAUCAGGUGCUAGCAUAGAAUGAUGUUAUAGAAUGAUGCCAUGGAAGUAAAAGUUUUGUCCAAUAUUUUUUUCGCAAUGAGUUGGGUCAUUAAAAACAAAAAACUGAAAAAAUCUCUAAUUAUAUAGGUGCUACUUCCUAAUUAACGCCCUAGAGUUAAACUUUGAUAGAUACAUUGACUGAGGGGAUAAGUUUUGUUACCCGUGUGAGCUGUUUGAUGUUGAUAUCAAGUGUUUUCUUUAUGCAAUUUUUAGUUGGGAAGUUUACUGGUUUUUAACAACAUGAAUUGACAUGGAAAUGGAGUAAGUUUGGUGUUCUUUAUCUAUGUGAAGAAGCAAAAGUGAGGGACCGCACAUAAAGGAUCUUUGUUGUGACUUAUAAGCAUUAUUAGAACACAGAAGAUCAUUUGUCGGAGUUUUGGCUUUUAGUUAAUCAUAUCCCAGACUCCCAAUUCAUUGAUUAAAUAUUGUGGAUGAUAGAGAUGGUCUAUGAAUUCUGUAGUGGGUUUGCGACUUAUCUAAGUUCCAUUGGUGCACGUUGGAUUGUUGAUGACCGAGGAUUUAGGAGGUAGUUCUGUGAUCAUAUGUUCGAUUUCGAAGUUUAGGGCCUCUUUGAUGCCAAAACAAGUUAUAUAGUAAUAACUUGUGUUGGAUGGUUUUCUUUCUUUCUCUUUCUCUCUUUAUUUUUUUCUUUUUCUUUUUUGUUUUUAACAUUAGAGUUUUAUUUUAGUACUUUGCGAGUUUCUAAUUAUCAUGGUUUCUGAGGGUGCUUUAUUCCUUCAUAGUCACUUUAAGAUUGUAACAUAAAGGGGAGGAGAUAUGCCGAGCAAGUUAUUCUAGCAUGCGAGGGGCUCACACGAGAACUUGAUGUUUCCUGAUCCACUGUUAUGGAAUUUCUUUUAAAAGAGCAAUGUUGUUUCAUGUAUUAUAUAUGCACUGUUGUUUUCUGAUUCACUUUAAUUCAGUUCCAACUUAAUUGUUUUUUA